UGCACUCCAGACAGCCUUUUAAUUCUCCAAU
rnacentral:piRNA from 1 species